rnacentral:miRNA from 1 species
CUCCUCAUGGGAGUUUGGGGUGGUUGCUGGAGGUUAGCACCUUAUGGCUCCCACAG